UGUCGUGUCCCCGUUAGUGGGGAGCGAGAACCCCGGCUGGAGGUCCGCCGGGGCCCUGCGGAGGACGGGGAGGUGCAGGCGAACGGCUUUCUUGAGGAGCCUCACCGCGAGCCGCUGACGGUGGCGGCGGAGGUGUGCUGCGCGGCCGGCCGUGUGGCUGAGGCAGGUGCGUGGCUAAAGUACUGAUGUAAUCUAGAGACAUUUGGCUGGCAGAUAGUAGAGUUGAAGCAGCCCCUACAUUACUCCAUCCUGCGCUCGGACAUGGUCAACCACAGAAUGUGAGAAUUAACAACGGCUUCCUUACAGUGCAUCAGCUACAUUUGGUGGAAGUGCGGAGGUUUCAACUGGACAGAACUCUCUCUCAAACUCCACAUAACCAGGCAGAGGAGAGAAGCGCUAUUAGGUUUCCACUAAAAUAAAGGCGUGUUAUGAGCUAACUCCUUAUUAUAUACUAAAAAAUACAUGUCAGAUAAAUCUAAAGACAAACUCGUGAGGGACCAGAGUUCAUUAAUUCCACUGUUUAAUGAACUACUCCUUUCGAGUUGCAUCAUAAAACUCAUGAAUACUCCUUUCAGCCUUCAAUUUAGCUGAAAAGUUGAAACCAAUUACCACCGAACUAACCAAACAUGUGGGCAGCUAAACGUCAGCUAGAUCUAAUCUUAAAUCCCCGUGAGCAAACAUCCUGCCCAAACGCUGCUGUUAUUAAGAAAAAUGCCAACUGCA